rnacentral:lncRNA from 1 species
AAGCCAAGUGGGAAGAUCCUUGCUGGUUUCUCCCUCUGAGGAAGAAGGAAAAUGCCAUGACUCCCUGUAUGGCCUCUCUUGGAACCAUAUUUUGAGGUUCAUCUCAAAGAUCUCUCUUUGCAUAAUGUGUGUGUGGACCUGCCUACAGAUAUAUUGGGUGGAAGCCCUAGGAGCCUCAAGCAAGUCUGAAGAUUGGCCCUGAGAACCACUGUUCUCAUUAUCAGCAAGGAUUUUAUCCAGAGACCUCUAGGAAUACAUUCACUAAAAUGCGACUGUGGUCCUGUGGUUGUAUGAACUCUGGCUCUUCUCGUGGAUUACAUUUCACUGGAGUCAGGUGUUUUCUGUAAACAUCAUUAAACCACAAGACCAACUGCAUUGAACAUUUUUUGCACUACAUUGUUUUAUUUCUUGCUCGUCUUUUCCUUGCAGAGCUGGGGCUGGGGUGAGGUGUGUGGUGUACCUAGCACUAAAAAUGUAAGAAUUCUCGGAGUCAUACAGGUGCACGGUCAGCACCUGAGAGUGAGCCACCCUUUAACAUUUUGCCUUCUAGGUGCUUCACUUGCCUUGCCCAAGCACUAGCCCUAGAUUAAAUAAUAUGUUUCCAUUAGUUUUUUUUAAAUUAUAAUAUUAACAAUAGCUAGCACUUAUUGAGCACUCCCUUAUGUGCCAGUAAAUGUGACUUAGAUGUAUCUGCUUAUUUUUCCUUACAUGAAACCCUAUGAAGUAGAUACAAUGGGUAUCAU